CCUACGGGUGGCUGCAGUGGGGAAUAUUGGACAAUGGGGGGAACCCUGAUCCAGCCAUGCCGCGUGUGUGAAGAAGGCCCUCGGGUUGUAAAGCACUUUCAGUGAGGAAGAACGCCUGGUGGUUAAUACCCAUCAGGAAAGACAUCACUCACAGAAGAAGCACCGGCCAACUCCGUGCCAGCAGCCGCGGUAAUACGGAGGGUGCGAGCGUUAAUCGGAAUUACUGGGCGUAAAGCGCGCGUAGGUGGCUUGAUAAGCCGGUUGUGAAAGCCCCGGGCUCAACCUGGGAACGGCAUCCGGAACUGUCAAGCUAGAGUGCAGGAGAGGAAGGUAGAAUUCCCGGUGUAGCGGUGAAAUGCGUAGAGAUCGGGAGGAAUACCAGUGGCGAAGGCGGCCUUCUGGACUGACACUGACACUGAGGUGCGAAAGCGUGGGUAGCAAACAGGAUUAGAUACCCCAGUAGUC
rnacentral:rRNA from 1 species